UGGACACAACAGUACCCAGAAC
rnacentral:miRNA from 1 species